AGAGUUUGAUCCUGGCUCAGGAUGAACGCUGGCGGCGUGCUUAACACAUGCAAGUCGAACGAACCUUCGGGUUAGUGGCGGACGGGUGAGUAACGCGUGAGAAUCUGCCCUCAGGAGGGGGACAACAGCUGGAAACGGCUGCUAAUACCCCAUAUGCCGCGAGGUGAAAUGAAUUUCGCCUGAGGAUGAGCUCGCGUCUGAUUAGCUAGUUGGUGUAGGUAAUGGCUCACCAAGGCAUCGAUCAGUAGCUGGUCUGAGAGGAUGAUCAGCCACACUGGGACUGAGACACGGCCCAGACUCCUACGGGAGGCAGCAGUGGGGAAUUUUCCGCAAUGGGCGAAAGCCUGACGGAGCAACGCCGCGUGAGGGAUGAAGGCCUCUGGGCUGUAAACCUCUUUUAUCAAGGAAGAAGAUCUGACGGUACUUGAUGAAUAAGCCACGGCUAAUUCCGUGCCAGCAGCCGCGGUAAUACGGGAGUGGCAAGCGUUAUCCGGAAUUAUUGGGCGUAAAGCGUCCGCAGGCGGCCCUUCAAGUCUGCUGUUAAAAAGUGGAGCUUAACUCCAUCAUGGCAGUGGAAACUGUUGGGCUUGAGUGUGGUAGGGGCAGAGGGAAUUCCCGGUGUAGCGGUGAAAUGCGUAGAUAUCGGGAAGAACACCAGUGGCGAAGGCGCUCUGCUGGGCCAUCACUGACGCUCAUGGACGAAAGCCAGGGGAGCGAAAGGGAUUAGAUACCCCUGUAGUCCUGGCCGUAAACGAUGAACACUAGGUGUCGGGGGAAUCGACCCCCUCGGUGUCGUAGCCAACGCGUUAAGUGUUCCGCCUGGGGAGUACGCACGCAAGUGUGAAACUCAAAGGAAUUGACGGGGGCCCGCACAAGCGGUGGAGUAUGUGGUUUAAUUCGAUGCAACGCGAAGAACCUUACCAGGGUUUGACAUCCUGCGAACCUCUUAGAAAUUUGAGGGUGCCUUCGGGAAUGCAGUGACAGGUGGUGCAUGGCUGUCGUCAGCUCGUGUCGUGAGAUGUUGGGUUAAGUCCCGCAACGAGCGCAACCCACGUUUUUAGUUGCCAGCAUUUAGUUGGGCACUCUAGAAAGACCGCCGGUGAUAAACCGGAGGAAGGUGUGGAUGACGUCAAGUCAUCAUGCCCCUUACACCCUGGGCUACACACGUACUACAAUGCUACGGACAAAGGGCAGCAAACUCGCGAGAGCUAGCAAAUCCCAUAAACCGUGGCUCAGUUCAGAUCGUAGGCUGCAACUCGCCUACGUGAAGUAGGAAUCGCUAGUAAUCGCAGGUCAGCAUACUGCGGUGAAUACGUUCCCGGGCCUUGUACACACCGCCCGUCACACCAUGGAAGUUGGCCAUGCCCGAAGUCGUUACUCCAACCCUUGUGGAGGAGGACGCCGAAGGUGGGGCUAAUGACUGGGGUGAAGUCGUAACAAGGUAACC
rnacentral:rRNA from 1 species